UUAGUGGCGGACGGGUGAGUAACGCGUGGGUAACCUGCCUUACACAGGGGAUAACACUUAGAAAUAGGUGCUAAAACCGCAUAAGCGCACAGCUUCGCAUGAAGCGGUGUGAAAAACUCCGGUGGUGUAAGAUGGACCCGCGUCUGAUUAGCUUGUUGCGGGGUAACGGCCCACCAAGGCGACGAUCAGUAGCCGGCCUGAGAGGGCGACGGCCACAUUGGGACUGAGACACGGCCCAGACUCCUACGGGAGGCAGCAG
rnacentral:rRNA from 1 species